CGUCGGGCGGGCAGCACGAAGCACCUCCCUUCGAUUUGAAAACUGCACGCGCGUCAGGAACACCGGUUUUCAAAAACUUUUUGGAGCGCGAGAACGACUUCAAGAUGACAAGGAAAAUUGCGAUGUGGUGGCUGGUGGUCGCGGUGGCGGUCAGGGUACCAAGCUCCACGCCUACACCAGCAACCUCCACCAAUACAACCACAACUGAAUCAACAACCUCCACCGAUACAACCACAACUGAAUCAGCAACCUCCACCGAUAC